GAUGAACGCUGGCGGCGUGCCUAAUACAUGCAAGUCGAGCGAACAGACGAGGAGCUUGCUCCUCUGACGUUAGCGGCGGACGGGUGAGUAACACGUGGAUACCCUACCUAUACGACUGGGAUACUUAUGGGAAACCGGGGCUAAUACCGGAAAAUUUAUUGACCUGCAUGGUUCAAUCGUUAAAGACGCUUUUUCGUUCAGUAAAAGACGAACCCGGGCCUCAUUAGCUAGUGGGUAAGGUAACGGCUUACCAAGGCGACGAUGCGUAGCCGACCUGAGAGGGUGAUCGGCCACACUGGAACUGAGACACGGUCCAGACUCCUACGGGAGGCAGCAGUAGGGAAUCUUCCGCAAUGGGCGAAAGCCUGACGGAGCAACGCCGCGUGAGUGAUGAAGGUCUUCGGAUCGUAAAACUCUGUUAUUAGGGAAGAACAAAUGUGUAAGUAACUAUGCACGUCUUGACGGUACCUAAUCAGAAAGCCACGGCUAACUACGUG
rnacentral:rRNA from 1 species